rnacentral:misc_RNA from 1 species
UAUAGCUGAUUUUAGGAAAAUAUAACAUUUUAAAGAGUGGCAACAUUCCAAGGUCUCUUGGAAGUAGACCUGUGAAAUACUUUCUUGCGAGAACAAAUUGUUCAAAAGCAGAAGCAUUUGACAAUUUAUACAUGGGAUCGACCAUGCAAGAACUUGUUAGAAGCAUGUAGAGCAAGUCCAAUUUCAGAAGGAAUGGUCCCUUUCAUUUGGUUGAAAUAGACGUUAAAUACAUAAUAACUGGAGACGUUGCAGAGGCCCCGAGGAAUCUAUGUCGUCAGAUUAUAUUCUCCUGAGACGUUGCAAGCCAUCCCUUCGCAGACCCAUUUCAGAAAGAGAUGAAAGAUACCUAAUGUUCCUGCAAGAUUAUUUCUUGCCAAGCCCAUAGCUUCAGGAUUAACUAAAGAACUGGACUGAGCAGGAAUGUUUCCUACCAAAUGAAUUGUUGAAGAGUAUGAAAUGUGGCAGGCGACGAAGACGACCCUUUAGGGAUUUAACUACAUUCUCCAAAAAUAAAAUUGCAGACAGAAUAAAACAUCCAAUACUAGGGAUUUUAAUUGCUGGAAUGGCUCAUCAACCACCAAAACAAAGGGUUCAAUCCAAUUCUAUAUAUACACCUUUCAACUAUGAAAAAUUUGAAACCACACACUACCUUGCAUUCUUUAGGUAAUUGCUAGCAACUUGUAGAAUUUGAAGCCUCAGCCCCAGUGCUAGAUUUUUCAGCAGUACCACUAUCACCAUCUUUGACGCUAGUCUUCAGUGCUGCAUGUUCCUUUCUUUUGUUACUAUCACAGAUCAGUAGCUGAUCCAGAAGAGGUUCCAUCCUUUUCCUUCUUAACUGCAACUUCUUCAAAAGGUCUCGAAUUAUUCUAUUGUCUUGAACUUCCCAUUCACUUGAAUCCAAUGCUGAAUAAAGUUGCUGCAAUUCAUCACGGACUUUGUUUACCAUCCCAGCAGCACUUCCACUACUGUGACAACAAUUACCCCGACGGCAACAUCGCAUUGUAGCAUUUACAAGGAGAACAUAUUCUAAAAUCAUUUCCAUCAACCAUGAAGCAUCAGUCAGUGGGUUAAAUUCAACUGUUCCAAGCAUAGCCCAAAAGUUCCUAUUAGUCUGUUGUGCUUUCACAGGGUCAGAUGUAGUGACAAAACUUGAAGCUGAAGGAAUCUCUUGGUGAUUUAUCUUCAAAGAAAUCCCUCCGCCAAAUGAGUCUUUCCUUGCCAACUUGGAACAGCGAGCUCGGUUGGAAGAAAACAUAUCAUUCUUAAGAAAUAAUCUCUGCAGAAUGCAUUUUCUGCCUUGCUCAACAUUCAAGUGCAGAAAAAUUGCACCUGGAAAUGAAAAUUCUGCACAAUGUAAUCCCAGAUUGACAACUACAAGAGGGUUUCCAAUACCUUUUAGUGCCUCUGAAACAACUUUAAUGUUUAUAUGUGCUUUCUCAUGUUCCCUUAACCUCCACAGGGACUUGUAAAACUUCCAUGGCAACAAAGAGGUAACUUCUCUCUUAUCCAACAAAUUGAAUAACAAAUCAUAAUACCCAUCAAAGUUGAUGCAAAGUAGACAAAGCACAACAAACAAUCUCAGCACUAGAAGAGGGUAGAAUUCCAUUUUCAGAUUGUACCUUUUGAUCCAUUUUAGAGGCUCACUACAAAUGAGUUUAUUAACUGUGUGGGCCACAAAGCCGACAGUUUCUUCAAGUAAUGGUUGCACUUGCACAUCAGAUAAAUAAUCCAAAUUUGUUUCAGUGUUCCAUCCCCUGGACAUAAGCCAUUCAACCAAAGAAGACUUAGUUGUGAAGAAGUAACCUUUCAAGUAGGAAACCAGGAUAAGGAGGCGAUCCACAAGGUACAAAAAUACACUUGGUGAAAAGUCUGUAUAUUCAGUAUCUGCUAAAGCUCUAUGGAAUUUCACAACCAAAUCAAAAUCACUUGGAUCUUCAAUGGAAUUAUCAUUACUUUUAGUUUGGAUGAAAUUCUCAAUGAACUCUUUCCAAGAUAUAUUAUCGCCAAGGGUUGUUGCAAUCUGCAUGUAGAGAUUAGUUGAAAAUUUUCCAGACAAAAUAAUCGUCAUUAGCAUUCCAAGUUGUCCAUUAGCAAUAGCCCUUGAGCGAAUGAUUCUGUAGACAACUUCCCUCAAUAAAUUCCUCGAAAGCUCUGUAUCUCUAAGAUAAAUCAUAUCUUUUGUCAUUGGCAUUCGCCAAUCCAGUGGAUAGAUAUGUCCAAAGAAGUUCUUAAUAGGAAUUUCAAGGAAUCUCUGCAGGAUGUUACUAGAGUCUCUGUGGUUCAAGAAUUUUGACUCAAUGAGAGACUUUGAAACCCUGAAGAUUUCAAUUAGAAGCAUGGUUUUGCAAUUCAAGGAUAAAGCAUUAUCAACUGAAAACACAUAAAAAGCUUCUAGAAUUUCAAGCACCUUUACACCAACAGUAAGCAUUUCUGAUGACCAGUAACGUAUAGCAGACCAAACAAACUGGUCAGCAUCAAUCCAUAUUGAAUUCCCUCUCUUAAUAUUUCGAAGAUUAGCGCCCUUAACCCAUUCUGCAUCAGGAUAAAGCAAAAGAUACAGUGUCUUCUCAUUCUUCAACUGCUUACUUACACCAAAGUAGUUCAAACAGAAUUCACUGUAAGAAUCUUCUUUCGUAUCCUGUAUAGAACUCAAAAUGUUCUCAAUCUCUUCUUUCCAAAAGUUCCAGUAGUAAACUAUACCUCCAACAGAAGUUUUCUCCCUGGAUUUCUUGUUUUGUGUAUAUUUUAUUAGAUCCUCAACCAAAUAGACCUCAUUCUCAUGCUGUGGUGUACCUUGAUAUAGGUAAGCAUCGAGAAUUUUUCGUGCACCUAAAAUUUUACCUCUGAAACUUCCAUGUCUUGCAGAAUCUCCCCAAUUUUUUUCCAUCGUAAAUAAGCUGCUCUUUCCAUGUGAUAAAAUGUCUGCCUCAAUACAAACAAAAUUGUGGUAGUGCUGUGAAACAUUCUCAGCAUAAGUUUUAGCCUUUAUCAAAAGCUCCUCUUUUUUCUCAAACUGCUUCAAGGGCCAGCCUUUGCUUCCAUGCACCCAAAGAGAGUUGUAUAACACAUAGGAAAGGAUAACCCCAGAUGCUUCUUUAAAUUUCCUUCCCAUCUGAAGAAGAUCAACUCCAAGCAAAAUAUCACCUUUCAUGUUUGCAACAUUUGCUGCCUCUAAAAAAUUGCCCCUUUCCUUUUCCAACAACACAAGUUCAUCAAGGCAAUCUACACUUUUCAAGAAAGUACGCAUUAGAUUCUCAGACUGAAAAUCUUUCACAAAUUUCAUCAUGGAUUCGGAAUCCUGAAGCUUUUGAAAAUAAAGUGCACCUCUCUCCAGGAACUUCUGAAGUUCUUCACUUUCAAGAAACCCUUGCCCAAUUAGAAAUUUAUUCUCUUUCCAUAAUUGGAUAAAGUCAUAUCCCACUUCGAAUAAUUUCCCAUCAGCACAAGCAGACAAGCACUUUGAGAAUAAGUUGCAUCUAGCAUAUAUUUCAGCUGCUCUUUUAUAACAUCCUGCACUAUAAAAACAUUCACCGGCUUCUUCAAGCUUAGAUUCCCCACACUUCUCCAAGUAAAUUAUACCUGCUUUUUCAUAUUCACGUAAUUCAAAGAAACAUAGGGCAGCAGACUCGUUUUUGCCAAUUGACUCAUAAAUAUGAGCAGCCUCAGUAAGAUGAAUGUCUGCCAUUUUGGGAUUUGAAUCCCUCAUUUGGUCAGCAGUAGAAACACUACCAGCAGCCACUGCCCACUUUUCCAAAUAAGAUUCUCCUGCCUUUUCAAAGCAAAAUCGUGCCUUGUCAUAGUUUUGCUGAUAAAAGAACUUCAUACCACGAGCUUUCCACUCCCUUUGACUGCUUGCAACUUGAAUCUCCUGUAGAAAAUUGUAUUCUAAUUCACGAAUUUGGACAAGGUGUAGCUUCUCCCAGUAGUUAAACAUAGAGCAAAAUCGACUCUCAAAAAUCCACAACCUUUUCCUUGUGCGAGUGAUUGCCACAUAUAAUUGCUUCAGCUCUAAACACAAGGAGAUGUGCUUUCCCUCAUUGAAAAUUGGAAAGGACUUUAGAAGAGGGGAAUCAAUCAAAUUUUGCUCUUUCAUAUAUCCAUAUAUAACUUCCCAUUGAUCCUUCAGAGGAGAAGAGCUAAAAAAGUUGUACAACAAGACAUCCUGAAACUCUAGGCCUUUGCACUCCGUUAAUGUCAAGACAAGUGCUUGCUUUCCCACAUAAUUGAGAACUUCAUUCCUAUGACUGUCAUCUCUCACUAAAAUGACUUGUUCAGCUCCAAAACCAAAAAUCCCACGGUCAAAGCUUCCACUGCCUUUGAAAAACGAGCAUAAUGUGUUCUCCCCAUUUCUCAUCUGUACCCACACUGGUUCUUCCCCAUUUACAAGACUUGUUUCAGGUUGCAAUCUAUCAACAGAGGAAGGAAAGAAAUGAUAAAGAAGGUUAAGAACACUAUUAGCUAACUUUAAAACACCAGCAUGGGAACGGAAGUUCUGGCUUAAAUUAAAGAUAUCAGAGACUUGUCCCUUCCCAUUUCUCUCACAUGCUGUGAACUCUCUAUAAAAAAGAGCUUUUAUAUCUUUGAACCUAAAAUCAACCCCUCUUACAAUGGUUUGGGCUGUAUCACCAGAAAAAACAAACCCAUCCUCAAAAUUUCUGCAGAUAUAUUUGAAGAGGGAAAUUUGUCUCAUUGUCAAAUCCUGCACUUCAUCAACAUACACAAAGUCCAUUUUCUCACCCUCAUAGUUCUCAUCUCCAAGCCGGUGAUGAAGGUCAAUUACAAAGUCAGACAAAUCAAACUCCCCUCUUGUUUUCUUUUUCUUUUCAUAUUGAAUAAAAAUAUCAUAAAUCGUACCUCUUUCUUGUUCACUUAGAUGAGAUAACCUACGCCUAGAAUAGGAAAUAUAAUCCUCCCUACUUAGUUUAUCAUCUUGGACACCAACACAGGAACCUCCUUUUAUAUGAGAAACUAUCUCCGCAAAAAUUGUGGAUGGAUCAAGUUUCUUUGUUAGCUGUAUACUGAAAUGGGGCCAGUAAGCUGAACAAAACUUGUCAUAAUGAACCUCCUUUGUCCUGAUAAAAGUUUUUAAGGCCAUGGAUCUAGAACCUUUUCUCUUUUCCUGAGAAAGUCCCGUAAAUUCAAGUAAUCUUCCAAAAAACGACCUGCCAACUGUUCCAUCCAGCAUCAUUAAGAAUUUGUUAAAUGUUAUUACAAGAGGAUAGGAACUUCGUGGGAUAUCAGAAAAAGAAUCUGGAAUGUCUGAAAAUUGUGAUGCCUCAUCAAUAUCAUCCAAAUUAGACUGAAAGCCUUCAGCUGAAGAAUUGCAGCCACACAUUGAUCUUUUUAAGCGUGAAAUGUAUUGUCUAACAGCAUAACACAGCUUAACAUUGACAGUAACAAAGAUUUGCCGCAAAAUAUUUCCCUUGAUUUCAACUUCACUUCCAGCAUUAUCUUUCCUCAGAGUACUACUUGCAGAAGAAUUGCUUUCAACUUUAUGAAACCCUUCUGCAGCUAAAUGGUAAAGCUGCUCCUUUUGAACUAACUUCAUAAUUAAAACAGUGGUUUUACCUGUACCUGAUCUACCUAGUAUAAAGGAACUUCCACUGAAUUCGAUGAUGUCCUUUUCUUCUUCUGUUAGCUCAAAAAGGAAAUCAAUUUCAUUUCCAUCACAACCAGAAAGCAAGUGACUUACAACUCCAGCAGACAAGGCGUAGAAUUUCAUAAGCAGAAAACUGUCACUUGAUUUGCAACUCUCGACAAAGGCACUUGAAUUAUUCCCACUCUGCACACAAUCUCUCUUAUAACGGGAAAUACAAGAAUUCCAACUCUUAGGAACUUCCAGAUCCCCCUCAAGACACUUCACCUUGCAACGUUUGAUAAAUUCAUCAGUAUAUGACUGAAAUAUAGUACUAAGAUGAUCAACCAACAAUGGUAUGUCCUCCAGAGGCAAUAUAUCCCACACCUUCAAGACUUGGAUGUAGCAUGAAUCCUUCACAACAUCAAUUGAGCAAAUAAUGUGCAGAUCUUUAACCUUAAAUUGUUUCAACAUCUGGGAGAAGUCAUCACAAACUAAGUUUGUACUCCUCCUCUUUGGCCGCCAACCACAAGAAAGCCUCAGUAAUAAAUUCAAAAUCAACUUCUUUGUUUCAGAAGACUUCAACUUUUCAAAUGACUUUCUGAAGUUGUCACUGAAUAGAACCUUCCAUCUGGCAUUUUUGAAAAGUAAACUAUCAGCAUUGAGGAAAUCAUCAAGCUGAUCCAUUUCUUUCUUCACCUCUAGCACAACAUCUGCCAAAUCCUCAUCUUCUUCAGCAUUAUAGAAACAAUUACGAUCCUUAGCAUCUUGGACUAUCGAUUUCCAAACAGUGUUACUAUCAAAAAGAGUUCUUCCAUCUCCCACAAUCCAAAGGCAGCAUCUGGCCCUUGUCAAUGCUACAUUAGUUCUCUGCCUGUUGGAAAUGUCCCCAACUGAUCCUUUAGCAUUAGAUCUUACAGUAGAAAAUAUGAUUACAUCUUCUUCUCCACCCUGGAAUCCAUCAAUUGUACUCACUUUCAGUGAAAAUCUGUCAAAGCUAUCAUACUUCUGUCCAACUUUUUCCUUGAUUGCAAUGACUUGUGCAGUGUAGGUAGCAACUAUGCCAACACUAAGCAUCUCUUUUGAUUUGCCCCAUGCUUUAAACAAUUUUCGGAUGAUUUUUGUCACCAUUGCAACUUCAACCAUAUUUUUAAAGCUACAUGUGAAGCUAUCCAUUUCCUCUCUUCCACAAGAAACAUUUAUGAAAGAGUACGGACCAAACAAUGGAAGCAGACGAAUGCACUUUUUGUAUCUUUUAUUUUUAACAUUUGGAGCAUCCAAAAUUUGGUUGCCAUAGAAUUCUGAAUUAGGAAGCAAACUGAUAAGUGGAUGCAUUCUGUACUGCAUAUCCAGAAUAUGCUUUGAAUGACCAAUUGAAAUCAACCUUUCAAACAAACUUCUUCCAAAGCCAGCUCUAGCAGAAGCAUUGCUUGUAACCGUUGCUGAUAGCUGACAGUGAUCACCAAAAAGAACACUAUGCCUGACACCUGGCAGUUGCAAUGGUAUGGAUAAUUCACAUUCUUUCAGCUGUGCAGCCUCAUCAACAAUUAACAGGUUCAGUUUAUUUGCUAGAACUGAAUGUAGUGCAUAAGAACUCGAAGCAGUACAAAAUAUUAAGGAAGCAGUCAAUAAUCGUGAACUACUAUCCAGAGUUUCAACUUGAUGAUCCAUAUAUAUCUCUCCAAUGUGUGCAUUAACUCCUGACAAGCCUUGAUCACCAAAAUAGAGAAUCCUGCCCAAUAAGUAUGAUGCUUCAGACGACUCCUUUACCAGCUUCAAAACACGAGAUGCCAAUUCUGCAAUUGCAACAUCUGUUGGGGCACAGACAAGACUCCUACGAUUCAUUCUUAAGAGAGUAUAAAGGAAAAUACUCAACGUUCUCGUUUUUCCUGUCCCUGGAGGGCCCAGAAUAAGUUCCACAAAAGAUCUGUGAUUACAUUCAAUUCUAUAAAGAAUGUCAACAACCACUUUCCUUUGUGACUUAUUCAGCUCAGAUGGCAAAGUCCUAAUAUAUUCUUCAAAUACAAGGCAAUUUCCUCGCGCACGACAUAGGGCAUAGUUCUUCUCAUCCUGAGUGGGAGAGCACAAGAUUUGCUUAAUAACAUUCAUAUUUCCACCCAUUUGCAAUGAAUUCCAUAUUCUUUCAUUUGUCCUCAUAUUCAUCAAGAAAACUAUGAACAAAGGCCUCCCUGAUGACAACUUGACUUGAAUCUCUUUAGAAGAUAGGACUCGAAGAAAAGUAAGAGUAUGACCAUCCCCAUUCUUAUUUUCUGUAAUCUUAGACAGUAACGCCCAUCCCCUUUCAAGCUGUGGCAGAUCAGAAACAGCUUCAGGUUUAGCAUCUGUAAAAACAAAGUAAUCUCCUGCAAAUGUCCUGUAAGACCUUUCUCCAUCAACUCCACAUCUGUUUCUCCAGUAAUCAACCUCAAUAUCAUAAUAAAGUUUUCCAUUUUGUUUGGUACUAUCAAAGUACGUCACUUGAGCGUAAGGUGCUCUGGAUACCUUCUCCAGACUUGAAGCCAGCUGCGCUCUAGUUUCCUCCAGUAAUGGAUAAACAAAUGACGCAAAAUACUGAUCCACUGCCUGAAACGAAUCGGGGAUCUUCUCAACCUUCUCUUUGUAGAGCUCUUCAUCAAGAAUGUCACUUAAAGACCAAGAAAAGACCUCAUCAAUCAAGCCUUUUCCCAUGGGAACUCUCUGAUUUGUUCUCUGUUCAAAAUUACUUACAAUGAAUCAUUUGCUUCAAAGGACCUUAUCUUAGUGAUCGAAUUUUUCAAGAGUGCUGAGAAGGGUUGUGUGCAUUUCCAAAGCUUCUAACUAUAAACAUUGAGUUAUCUUAAGUGGCAAUCUUCAGAAUUUCUAUAAGUGGAGAAGUGGAAGAGGCUCCAAGGGGGCUUUGGGAUGUUGUACGAGAGAGUGAGAGGAAA